CACGUUUGACUAUCUAAUCUAAAAACUUCCACAAAUUGGUACCAUCAACCUUUUUUUAAAAUUAUGAAUCUCUCCAAUCCCUCCCCAACCAAAUUCCGAUUUAGUAUACACAUUGAGUCAGUUCUAGAUAACACACAUACUCUUUAAAGUUGUUAUACGAUGAAGACGAAGAUAGUAUGGAUUCGUGAAUUUUUAAGAUUUCGAUGAGGUUUUAUUUUUUCGUCAGUUCGGGCAACACCAGAUAGUCUUGAAAAAUCUCCCUCCGCCCUAAAGCUCAAUGAAGAAGAGUGGAUGCACACGCUCCUUGAAGGAUAAUGGUAAUUGCGUUGACUAGGUAAAAUUGGGCAAAAAAUUGUGCACCCUCUUAUUUCCUUUCUCUGUCUACAAAUCCCUAAUCAUGUUCUCGCACCUGCCCUUCUUCUAACAAAAGAGGAUUAAUAAUCAAUUUUAUGAGCUUUCUUAAACCUCUUCAUCACAAAUUUAUGAGCUUGAGAAUUUAUCGAGACGAGUUUAUUCCAAAUAUUGACUUGUGUUUUUGGGUUAGUGAGAAUUUGGAUGAAUAUACUCCAUCUCUUUAUAAUAUAAGCAUCGAUAGUUGAUAUCUAUGGUUUUAUUUCUAGGAUUUGGCUUUCAAAUUACCAGGGUGCAAAAGCUGCAACUCUUGCCUUUAUGCAUGUAUAUACAAUGGAGAUUUGUACAAUAAUUAUCUAUGCAAAAACUAAUCGUAUGAAGAUUUGUUUAGUAAGGAAAGCAGCAAAUGAGGAAGGUUCGAAUUAGGAUAUGAUAUGGUGUUUUUGUAAGGAGGUGAUUAAUUAGUUAGGCUUCUGUUAUGUGCAGAAAUUAGUUGUUGCAUCUACUUGCAAUGCUAGCCAUAUUUAUUUUGUUUUGAGGUACUAAUUAGCAAUGCAAAUUAGCAUAAAAUGUUUGGUGAAAUUUGUAAUAAUUUUGUUUAUUGGCUAGAUGUAUGUUUCCAGUUUUUUAUGUUGUGCUUCUCAAUUUUUUCACAAUUGCACUCUCCAUAAUGUAUCAAUGCCACAUAUCACUUCUACGCGAUGCCGUAUUCCGCUUCUCCUUAGCUCCCUCCCUAUGUCAUCCACAGAAGUAGAGCCAUUGUUAGCGCCGCUGCUCUUCCUAAUUUCCUCAACCAAGUUGCGAAGUCUCGCCGUUGUU
rnacentral:lncRNA from 1 species